CAAAACAUUGUUCCAUGAAUAAAAAUAUGGGAUAAUACCUGCCCAGUGACCACAUUGUUCAACGGCCGCGGUAUCCUAACCGUGCAAAGGUAGCAUAAUCACUUGCCUAUUAAUUGUAGGCUAGAAUGAAAGGGUUAACGAAAUAGAAACUGUCUCAAUUAAUUACCUAAAAAUUAUUAUCUAACCGAAGAAAGGUAGAUACCCUCGAAGGACAAGAAGACCCUAUAGAGCUUUAUUUUAAUUAUAGGACUAUACUAUAAUAAUAUUCGGUUGGGGCGACCCAGGGAUACUAAUCACCCUACACAUAAAAGAUAUAUUAAUCAAUAAAAUGACCCUAUAAAGAUCACAAAACCAAGCUACCUUAGGGAUAACAGGCUAAUCCCACUUAAGAGUCCUUAUCAACAGUGGGGUUUGGCACCUCGAUGUUGGCUUAGGGUAUCUAUGUAGCGCAAAAGUUAUAUAAAGAUGGUUUGUUCAACCAAUAAUUCCCUACGUGAUCUGUUU
rnacentral:rRNA from 2 species